AGAGUUUGAUCCUGGCUCAGAUUGAACGCUGGCGGCAUGCCUAACACAUGCAAGUCGAACGGCAGCACGGUCUGUAGCAAUACAGAUGGGUGGCGAGUGGCGGACGGGUGAGUAAAGCGCAGGAAUCUGCCCUAUGGAGUGGGAUAACUUUAGGAAACUGGAGCUAAUACCACAUACACUCGAGAGAGGAAAGCUAGGCCGAAAGGUCUGGCGCCAAAGGAGGAGCUUGCGUCUGAUUAGCUAGUUGGUGAGGUAAAGGCUCACCAAGGCGAAGAUCGGUAGCUGAUCUGAGAGGAUGAUCAGCCACACUGGGACUGAGACACGGCCCAGACUCCUACGGGAGGCAGCAGUGGGGAAUAUUGGACAAUGGGGGCAACCCUGAUCCAGCAAUGCCGCGUGUGUGAAGAAGGCCUUCGGGUUGUAAAGCACUUUAGUUGGGGAAGAAGAUUUGGAGUUUAAGAGAUGCCAAAUUUGACGGUACCCAAAGAAUAAGCACCGGCUAACUCUGUGCCAGCAGCCGCGGUAAUACAGAGGGUGCAAGCGUUAAUCGGAAUGACUGGGCGUAAAGGGCGCGUAGGUGGAUAUUUAAGUGAGAUGUGAAAGCCCCGGGCUUAACCUGGGAAUGGCAUUUUAGACUGGAUAUCUGGAGUACAGUAGAGGGUGGAGGAAUUUCCGGUGUAGCGGUGAAAUGCGUAGAUAUCGGAAGGAACACCAGUGGCGAAGGCGACCACCUGGACUGAUACUGACACUGAGGCGCGAGAGCGUGGGUAGCAAACAGGAUUAGAUACCCUGGUAGUCCA
rnacentral:rRNA from 1 species